UACGGGGGGGGGCAAGCGUUUGUUCGGAAUUACUGGGCGUAAAGGGCUCGUAGGCGGCCAACUAAGUCGGACGUGAAAUCCCCAGGCUCAACCUGGGAACUGCGUCCGAUACUGGUUGGCUUGAAUUCGGGAGAGGGAUGCGGAAUUCCAGGUGUAGCGGUGAAAUGCGUAGAUAUCUGGAAGAACACCCGUAGCGAAGGCGGCACUCUGGGCCGGUACUGACGUGAGGCGCGAAAGCGUGGGGAGCAAACAGG
rnacentral:rRNA from 1 species